CCCAGGGCGAUGCCCUGGGCUAGCAUCGGUCGCCCUUUCAGGGCU
rnacentral:sRNA from 1 species